CAGUAUUAUUAUGUUAAAAUCAAUAUUAAAAAUCAAAUAGCAAAUAAUUUUCAAAGUUUAUUUGACACUCUCUUAUUUUUUCAGCAUUACUAGUCACCUACAACUUAUAGCCUCUCCAAUUAUUAUGUGGAUGAUACUUUCAUGAUAUGGAAAGAUGGACAAGAAAAACUAGAUCAGUUUCUAAAAUACCUAAACUCUCAACAUAAUAUCUAAUUCACAAUGGAAUUGGAGAAAGAGAACCUUUUUUGGAUGACUUAGUAAAAAGAGUGGGUGAACAUUUUAUUUGACUGUUUUGUCUAAUUUGUCAAUUAAUUAUAAAGUACCAAUGAACAGUACUGAAAAACCA